ACAUGCCUACAACAUAGCGUUAAUACACCAGAUCACAUUAGAACUUUGUAGUUAAGCACGCUCAGGCUAGAGUAGUACUAGGAUGGGUGAACGCCUGAGAAGUCCUAGUGUUUUACAUGCC
rfam:Picea glauca, whole genome shotgun sequence.